GGAUCAGUUGGUCGGUCGUGCUUAGGUACGUACUGGUCAAAUUGAUUCCUACCUUCUGAAGAACCACGAUGUCAUUAAUUUGGUGUCGUGGGAAUCAGGACUGUUACUUUGAAAAAUUAGAGUGUUUAAAGCAAGCUCGCGCUUGAAUACAUUAGCAUGGAAUAAUGAAAUAGGACGUUUGAUUCUAUUUUUGUUGGUUUCUAGGAUCGACGUAAUGAUUAAUAGGGAUAGUUGGG
rnacentral:rRNA from 1 species